CUUGGUCAUUUAGAGGAAGUAAAAGUCGUAACAAGGUCUCCGUUGGUGAACCAGCGGAGGGAUCAUUACUGAGUACUACACUCUCUACCCUUUGUGAACUAUUAUACCUGUUGCUUCGGCGGCGCCCGCAAGGGUGCCCGCCGGUCUCAUCAGAAUCUCUGUUUUCGAACCCGACGAUACUUCUGAGUGUUCUUAGCGAACUGUCAAAACUUUUAACAACGGAUCUCUUGGCUCCAGCAUCGAUGAAGAACGCAGCGAAACGCGAUAUGUAAUGUGAAUUGCAGAAUUCAGUGAAUCAUCGAAUCUUUGAACGCACAUGGCGCCUUCCAGUAUCCUGGGAGGCAUGCCUGUCCGAGCGUCGUUUCAACCCUCGAGCCCCUGUGGCCCGGCGUUGGGGAUCUGCCACGGCAGGCCCCUAAAACCAGUGGCGGACCCGAAGGGCCCUCUCCUUUGCGCAGUAGCAUUCGCCUCGCAUCGGGAGUCCUCGGCGUCCUGCCUCUAAACCCCCCACAAGCCCGCUUCGGCGGCACCAAGGUUGACCUCGGAUCAGGUAGGAAUACCCGCUGAACUUAAGCAUAUCAAUAAGCGGAGGA
rnacentral:rRNA from 1 species